AACGAACGCUGGCGGCGUGCCUAACACAUGCAAGUCGAACGGAACUAAGGGGCUUGCUCCUUAGUUUAGUGGCGCACGGGUGAGUAACGCGUGGAUAAUCUGCCCGAUGAUCUGGGAUAACAUCUCGAAAGGGGUGCUAAUACCGGAUAAGCCCACGAGGUCUAUGGAUCUUGCGGGAAAAGGGGGGGACCUUCGGGCCUUCUGUCAUCGGAUGAGUCCGCGUACCAUUAGCUAGUUGGCGGGGUAAAGGCCCACCAAGGCUACGAUGGUUAGCUGGUUUGAGAGAAUGAUCAGCCACACUGGAACUGAGACACGGUCCAGACUCCUACGGGAGGCAGCAGUGGGGAAUUUUGCGCAAUGGGCGAAAGCCUGACGCAGCAACGCCGCGUGAGUGAUGAAGGCCUUCGGGUCGUAAAGCUCUGUCAAGAGGGAAGAAAUGUAUUAUGGCUAAUACCCGUGAUACUUGACGGUACCUCUGGAGGAAGCACCGGCUAACUCCGUGCCAGCAGCCGCGGUAAUACGGAGGGUGCGAGCGUUGUUCGGAAUUAUUGGGCGUAAAGCGCGUGUAGGCGGUCUUUUAAGUCUGAUGUGAAAGCCCCGGGCUCAACCUGGGAAGUGCAUUGGAAACUGGGAGACUUGAAUACGGGAGAGGGUAGUGGAAUUCCUAGUGUAGGGGUGAAAUCCGUAGAUAUUAGGAGGAACACCGGUGGCGAAGGCGGCUACCUGGACCGAUAUUGACGCUGAGACGCGAAAGCGUGGGGAGCAAACAGGAUUAGAUACCCUGGUAGUCCACGCCGUAAACGAUGAGUACUAGGUGUCGCGGGUAUUGACCCCUGCGGUGCCGCAGCUAACGCAUUAAGUACUCCGCCUGGGAAGUACGGUCGCAAGACUAA
rnacentral:rRNA from 1 species